rnacentral:tRNA from 1 species
AGCAGCGAAGAGCAAUUGGAUGUUCGCCAGGCUCAUAAUCUGGAAGCUGUAGGUUCGAAUCCUAUCGCUGCUC